UGGUAAAUUCCAUUCAGCGGCAAUGUUGUCACCGGCCGCCAUCACUCUAUCUAGUCUCUAUCUAUCUUAACUGUCAACCUUACCUCACUUCAAAUUUUGAUAUCGCCCACUUUCAUACUCGAGCCCUAGGUUUGGUUUUGCUUUAUUUUUUGGUUUUCACCGGUGAUGCAUGAAAUUGGCAUUCCCGAUCUCUCCGACGACGCCGAUUACGCUGGGUCUAUUCAGCAAUGUAGGUUGACGACGAGAGCUGAUCACAAGGAAAGGAAAACAAUGUUGCUACUACAACUGCCAUCAGUUUUUGAAUGUCAGUGGUGAAUAUCCCGUGACAUGAAAAAGAGAUAAAUGUAGUGUUGAGGUGCUUCAAAUAACUGAUAUGAUAAGUCUACAUUCAAUCCUUGAUAAAACAAUGUAUCACCUUAUAAACAAAAAACGGCUUGCAUUGAUGGAGAAGAUGUUUGAAUCUUGUUGAAGAAUACACUGCAUGAUUUUGGAAGAUAAGAUGGAGGAAGGAACAAAGCAAUGAGCAAAGCUGCCAGUCAGUUGAGGACCUAAAGUUGAAUGUUGUAGAGAGUUCACAGGGAGUUCCUCAUCUAGCAAUUGGCUCUACUAAAAAUCCUCCUGAUAUUGCAUAUGGUCGUGAUCCAAGCUGUCAUAGUUUUACUAGGAAAAAUAAAUAAUAGUUCAAUCUCAUUGUUUUUUUCCAUUUUUGAACACAUUCUCUCUUUUUUUGUUUUUUAUA